ensembl:lncRNA
GUUGACUAUGAAGAGCCAUCAUCAAUGGAUCUCUGAUAACAUGAUCAAACAUGGACCAAAAGCGUAGAUCCACUUACUUUUCCCCCACGGAAUUGGAAAUUCUAAUGAACGUGUAUGCCGAGCAGUUACCCAUUGUAACAAAAAAAAAGCAAUACCGCCGCGGCAGCGAGAGCGCGAGAGAGAGCUUGGCAGGAAAUAGCUGAACAAGUCAAUGCCAAAUCGAAAAAAAGCAGAGGCCCGGAAGACUGGAGGGGGUCCACCUCUGCAGCCCUCACAGAGGCUGAGGGGAUGGCCCUCAGCGAACAGAGUAUGCGUCCUGUGGCUGAGGGCAUCCCUGGGGGGAGCUCCUCUGACCCCCCCCACCCUCCAGGAUAGAAAUGCCUUUAUAAGAGUUACUGAUGGCGUCAUCGCCCUAGGCUACUUGAACCAGAUGCCCUCACCAACCUUCAUGCAAUUGUAACAAUUCAAAAGAUGCAAAAGGAUGCUUUGGAGAUCCAAAUUUUGGAACAUAAGUUAAAG